GCAGUCAAAUAUUGUACUUAACUACUAAGUGUUAUUAUUAUAUUACAUGAUAUGCUUAUUCUGUUAUUCAAUUGAAAAAGGUCAUGACUGAAUUCAAUAAAAAACAUUUUUCAAUUUUAUAAAAGUAUUCAAAUACAAAUGAAAAUUUCCCUUUCAAUUUAAUUAACUACUUGCAUGACUUUAAUACAAUUACACUCAUAAGAGGGGAAAACCAAGACAUUUUUGGCUAUUUUGUUUUCCCUUCUCUAAACAUAUAUACCAUCAUGAAGUCAAACAUUUGACCCAAUAUAGCAAUAUUGCACAAUAUUAUAUUCUAUGUAAUAAUGGUUACAAUAUAAUUG
rnacentral:lncRNA from 1 species